GCUCCCUUGCCAGCCCCAGACCCGCCCAGAAGAUGCUGUGUCAUGUAGGGGUGGGCACAUGUCUUCCUGGCCAGAUCCUGCAGCUCCUGAAAGGCAAGCUGGUGGUGGGUCAUGACCUGAAGCACGACUUCCAGGCACUGAAAGAGGACAUGAGCGGCUACACAAUCUAUGACACGUCCACCGACAUGCUGUUGUGGCGUGAGGCCAAGCUGGACCACUGCAGGCGUGUCUCCCUGCGGGUGCUGAGUGAGCGCCUCCUGCACAAGAGCAUCCAGCCUGCUUGGACACAGCUCGGUGGAAGAUGCGAGGGCAACGAUGGAGCUCUACCAAAUCUCCCAGAGAAUCCGAGCCCGCCGAGGGCUGCCCCGCCUGGCUGUGUCAGACUGAAGCCCCGUCCAGCCCGUUCCCCAGGGACUAGAGGCUUUCGGCUUUUUGGGACAGCAACUACCUUGCUUUUGGAAAAUACGUUUUUAAUAGUAAA
rnacentral:sRNA from 1 species